rnacentral:lncRNA from 1 species
GAAACCUUCACAGGCUUCCAGAGUCUUCUCCCUUCUUCUAUUUCAAACUGAAACCCACCAAGUUCAGCAAACUUCUUCACGUCUAUCAUUUCUCUCACACCCCUUUCUCUCUCACUCUCACUCUCUCACUCUCUCACUCUCUCACCCCUAAUACGAACAUCACCAAACUUCUUCACGUCCCCGACAUCACGACGGCCCUGGCGACCACCAUGACGGCCCAGCAACCUCGAUUGUCCUCCUCGAGUCCUCGACGACAUCCCAGACUUAGAGAACCCAAGCACCCCACCACCCAUCUUCUCGAUUUGUCAUAUCUCUCGCAAUUUCCGCAGCGCAGUCUUGUGGUGCACUCAGUCUCACAGGUAAAAACCAAACCCCCAUUUUCUUCUCUACUUGUUUUCGGAUAUCUUGGGAACCAUCAUAUUUAUCAUAUUUUUUCAAAUUUUAUUACAAAUUUUAAUCAGAUCUGUUUUACUCUUUAAUCCCUUUUUUCCCCUUUAUUAUUUUUUUUAUCAAAUUUUGUUUUAAAAUUAAUUGAAUUAAACUUGUAUUUGUUCAUGCGAGAUGUGGAUGGAUAUGUGGAAUUGAUAUGGGGUAAUAAGAAUUCAAAUGGUUUUGAGUAUUGAGUGUUUUUGUUUCAGAUGUUUCUUAGUAUCUGUCGCUUUAAACUGGCAUAUAUGUAAUUUAGUGAAGCAAAAAGCUAAGUUCUUGAAUGGAUUGAACUAAUUUGUUUCUUUGAUGGAUCUAAUACUAGUAAUUAUUAGCAGUGUUCGCCUUCACCACAAUUGUUCUGAUUUUUAAUUCAAAAACACCUGCCAAGUGAUAGAUUUGAUUGAGAAUGUUAUCUCGAGCAUAUAGCUUUGAUCAGUUUGACUGAAUUAUGCAAUUCAAAUCCAGAAAUUAUGCAAUUGCGGCCCUUGUCCAGUUGUCUUGCAGUCUUGCUCAAAGUUCUUCAGGUAAAUUUCCUUUAAGUUUUGAUUCUUCUCAAUUCCUGAGUUCUGGAUUCUGUUUUGUGUUGAUCAGUUUGUAGAAUACCUAUUUCUCUUUGUUUGAUUAAUAAAUAUCCAUUGUCUCUCUCUUGACAAUUAGGUACAUCAACAUUUUGAUUGAAUUAUUAUCGAGUUAUUAUCUUUCUCUUGACAAUCUUCCAGAUUGAAUAAUUAUAAUGUGAACAUAUUGGGCGGUGUAUGUCAUUUUGAUGUUAUUCUUUUUCUUACAGAUUCAAUGACGAAUGAUGUUGGACGUUUGCUGUCAUUGCAAAUGUUAAUGUGGAUGUUAUUUCGGUUUUAAUGUUUAUGUUUUUUUUUUUGAUUUGGAAUAGCUCUUGUAAUCUGUCUGUGCAGAAGCUUAAAUCUUGAAACAGCUCUUGGAAUUUUUGAAAACGUCUGUGCUGCUGCAGUGCACUACACUGCAGUUUUAUAAAAAUGUAUUUUUGAAAGAAAAAAAAAAUAGAGUUGGACCCGUGGACCCAUCCUGGACUGGUCCGUUUGAAACGAGCCGGGUUAGGUUCGGUUUCAAAACUAAAAAUCUCUCUACCCGGCCCGACCCAUUACAUUUAUAACGGGUAGGGUCAUGUUCCUCUAAAUUUGGACCCAGCUCGUGCCCACCCCUAGUCAAGAUGACAUAUUUUGAGGAAGAUUUCUUCUGAGGAUUUGUUAGGGACGUUUUUAGCUUUCAAAAUGAAGCUUUUGGUACCAAAUCAGAGUUGAUUGGGUUGGUCAAAAGUCUAAUUUUCUGAGAAGUCCGAAUUUCAGUUUAAAUAAGAAACCUUUUAUUUCCUAAUUAUCUUAUUAUAUUAUGUUUCCUAGUUUUUAAAAGACUUUCAUUUUAUUUUCUAGUAGUAUAAAUAAGGCUAUUUAGCCAUUAGAGAGGGGAGAACAAACGGAUCAAUUGGGAGAACUUAGCUAGGCUUUGAUGUUUUGUAUUUAAGGUGUCUUUUUAUCAUUUUUCUAUUUUAAUAAAAUUAUUUUUGUUUUAUGGUUUGUAACUAAUUUCUAUUUGCUAGGGCGAUGCCUUGAGUUUUAGGA